rnacentral:rRNA from 1 species
CACGUAGGGCGCAAGCGUUGUCCGGAAUUAUUGGGCGUAAAGAGUUCGUAGGCGGUCUGUUGCGUCCGCUGUGAAAACUCGGGGCUUAACCCCGAGCCUGCAGUGGAUACGGGCAGACUAGAGGUAGGUAGGGGAGAAUGGAAUUCCCGGUGUAGCGGUGAGAUGCGCAGAUAUCGGGAGGAACACCGGUGGCGAAGGCGGUUCUCUGGGCAUGAUCUGACGCUGAGGAGCGAAAGUGUGGGGAGCGAACAGG